rnacentral:rRNA from 1 species
UUAUUUUAAAUAAGAUAAUUUUACCAGGUUAGUAGUAGUUAUGUUCUUGAAAAUUAAAGAAGAUGGCGGUAUUUUAGUCUAUUCAGAGGAACUUGUCCUGUAAUUGAUGGUCCACGAUUUAUUAUACUUAUUUUAAAAGUUUGCAUAUCGCCGUAGGUUGAAUAUUCUUUAAGGAUUAGAAACGUUCAAGAUAUUUUUUAAGUGAUAAAAAAUCAGGUCAAGAUGUAGCUUAUAUAUAAGAAGAGAUGGGUUACAAUAAAUUUAUUUAUUUAUGAAUUAAUAAAUGAAAUUUAUUAUGAAGGUGGAUUUGAAGGUAAUUUUAUAUAAAUUUAUAAGAUGAUUUUAGCUCUAAAAUAUG